GAUGUAAAUGUGGUUCAGAGUUGUGUUAACAGUCAGAACCCGAGCCAAAGACAGCAGACCCUCAGUCCCGAUGUUGUUACUGCAGACAGACAGCCUGACGGACAGACAGACAGACAGACAGACAUACAGACAGACAUACAGACAAACAG